rnacentral:misc_RNA from 1 species
GAUGAAGAACGCAGCGAAAUGCGAUAAGUAGUGUGAAUUGCAGAAUUUAGUGAAUCAUCGAAUCUUUGAACGCACAUUGCGCCCUUUGGUAUUCCUUAGGGCAUGCCUGUUCGAGCGUCAUCUACACCCUCAAGCACAGCUUGGUGAUGGGCGCCUGUCCCGCCCCCCACGGGGGCGCGGACUCGCCUCAAAUGCAUUGGCGGCCGGCGACCUGGCUUCGAGCGCAGCAGAAACGCGUACUCGGGGACCGGGCGCCCGCUCCCAGAAGCCAACCCACCCGGUUUGACCUCGGAUCAGGUAGGGAUACCCGCUGAACUUAAGCAUAUCAAUAAGCGGGGA